rnacentral:tRNA from 1 species
GCCUUCGAGGUGUAAUGGUCAGCACGCUCGACGCGUAACCGAGAGGUCCGUGGUUCGAUUCCCGGUGAAGGCG